AGUCUGAAGUAGAGGAGCUAUGUUGUCAGGAUGUUGCUCCAAUCAGGGAAAAGCUUGAUACAUCAAAUCACAACUGCAUUACUUCUCACCCUGGCCUCCAUGACGUAUCACUGAGCAAGUAUAGUAUGGAGGCAUACUACAAUGAAUUCAUUGACAGCAGUGGCCCCAUAGGUGAUGAUGAACCAAUACACAAAAUCUAUCGACAUCUGGCCUACAGAAGAUUUACAUACUGGAUUUGGCAGAAAUUGGGAAAAAAUCAUCGCAAGGUGAUUCCUUCUUGUGUUGUCCAUGUUAUACGUGCAACAUUUCCAUCAGAUGUAUAUACUGGAUUUCUUUAUUCUCACUAGAAUAAAUAUUGUUUUAAUGGAAA